rnacentral:rRNA from 1 species
UUGGAGGGCAAGUCUGGUGCCAGCAGCCGCGGUAAUUCCAGCUCCAAUAGCGUAUAUUAAAGUUGUUGCAGUUAAAAAGCUCGUAGUUGAAUUUCGGGGUUAGUAGAUUGGUCAUGCCAUCGGUAUGCACUGGUCUCACUGAUUCCUCCUUCCUGAUGAGCCGUAAUGCCAUUAAUUUGGUGUUGCGGGGAAUUUGGACUGUUACUUUGAAAAAAUUAGAGUGUUUAAAGCAAGCUAACGCUUGAAUACAUUAGCAUGGAAUAAUGAAAUAGGACGUUCGAUCCUAUUUUGUUGGUUUCUAGGAUUGACGUAAUGAUUAAUAGGGAUAGUUGGGGGCAUUAGUAUUCAAUUGUCAGAGGUGAAAUUCUUGGAUUUAUUGAAGACUAACUACUGCGAAAGCAUUUGCCAAGGAUGUUUUCACUAAUCAAGAACGAAAGUUAGGGGAUCGAAGACGAUCAGAUACCGUCGUAGUCUUAACCAUAAACUAUGCCGACUAGGGAUCGGAUGAUGUUAAUUUUUUAAUGACUCAUUCGGCGCCUUACGGGAAAC